GGGGCUGGCGCGAGCUCGCCUGGAGCCGCCGCCGCCGCCGAGGGCGUGGAGGAUCAGCGACCACCACCAGUUGCAUGUAUCUGAUCUGGCUGUGGUUGGCAGGGCGGUGGAGUGGAGGUCGGGGUGAUCACUGCUGCUGCCGUCAACCUUAGGGUCUACGUCGAGCAGACAUGAUCUGAACCUUUAGGUGCGCAGGCCAUAUCUCUUUUCCCUCUUUUAAUUGGUUACAAUUUGGUAAGUCUAUUGGAUGAUGUAGCUGAAUUUUUUGGCAUAAAAAACGAGAAGGGAAACUGAGAUAUGCUUGGUUGUUGAUUUAUUUAUUUAAUUGGGACAGAAGGGGUAUUAUCUGUACAUUUUCAUCCAAACUCAAUUAUCCCACUGCACAGUAAAAAAACUCAGGUGUGUGCAUUAACGUAAAUUGGCUGUGUCUUUGCUAUAUUAUUAUGCUUGCAUCAAUAAUUCUUUUAACGUAAAUAAGGUCAUAGUGCUUUGUUACAAAUCCCUAUAAUUGAUUAGUUUACCAGCUUUAGACCAUGGUCUCAACAUUUUCUUUUCAGUGCCUGAAUAUGCAUAGCCAUUACAGCCAUGCUUUGUGUUUCUCUCUCAUGUCGUCUGUGCAAAAUAGAUUGCAGUUGCCUUGAAGGGCAUAUGCUCAUGAUGGUUUCAGGGAUAUCAUGUUUUCCGACUCCGUUUAGAGAAGGAACAUAAUGCUCCUCAAUUGUAUUGUUAUUUUCCACUAUCUGCAAGUCUUUGAUCUCUAUAAUAUUUUGGGCAAUUCCUUUUAUCUGGAAGCUUUGUUAUUAGUAUGAGCUACAAUGAUGUGAUACAAGUGACUGUUGGAAUGAACUGAAGAAGGAAUCGAUGAUCUAUAGCAACAGCAUAGUUAUUCUUUCCCUUGUCUUACAGAUCAGUAAUCAUAAGAAGAAAACUGAAAUUUACCCAGUGGCAUCUUUCAAUAUGUAUCCCAUAGCUUUAAGGAAGAACACCGUCAAAUUAUGUUGUGCUAAUCAUCUUGAGAAGUAUGGUGCAGUGGCCCUGAUACAGCCUAGUAAACAUACAUGCGGUUUUUGCAUGAAUUGCUGUUGUAGUUUUGUCAAGGUGUAUUUUUUGAGAAGUUUCCAUGUGAAAUUAUGCCACACUGAGUUCAAGGUUUCUAUAUUCAACUCCUUGCAAUAUCAAUAAAUGGGAGCACUUCAACGAUCCAACCUAUCUGUAUCUUACCCUUCCUGGCCAUAUCUUUUGUUCCAUACGGAUUGCUUGAUAGGAUGUAGAGAUAGUUCUCACUAGGUUUUAUGUAUGGCCAUACCUUUUGUUCUGAUAAAUGCUUCCAGGUGAGAUUUAAUUUCUUUGUGCCAACUGCCAACAAGCUUUUGCGUGUGUGCCAAUGGUAUGUGCAUGAACAGUUCUGCUUUUCUUACAGUCUUGGAGAUGAGCCUAUUAUUCUUUAUUUUUCUGCAGGGAAUAUUAACUAAUGAAGCAAGUUGUCUGAGAUGUGUACUGUGAGUGAUAAAGACGACAUGUUAUUUUGACCUGAGCCUGGACAUUGAACAGAAUAUUUCAAUAAUCAGCUGUCUUUAGGAACUUCAGCUCGACAGAAAUUUUGAAUGCUGAGGAUAAAUUCUUUUGUGACAAAUGUUGCAGGUGCAUUGUUCCCAUCCCUUUGGUGCCACAAGAAGGAAGAGCUACUGGAGUACUGGUUGGUGCUGCUUGGUGGAAACAAGAACAGAGGAGAAUUGAACUCCUGGGAAUUGAACUCCCAUGUCACCUAUAGCAUGUCUUUGGAUAGUGCUGGGAUCGGAGUUGGUCAUAGGAAAUUUCUGCAUUCCAAACAGAAAUUGAAAGCACAAAAAUGCUGCAUGAAAGAAUUGGUUAAAAUACAGUAUGUGGUUCCAAAGGUUUGACGGUGCGUGAUUCUCCUUUUCUGGACAGGGCCGGCAUUGCUCAUUGAUGUUCCAAGAGACACAAAGAUAACAGCCGAAGCAAUGGAAUCCCUAAAUAUCCCCAAAGGAGUUCGUCGGGUUCUUUUCAGGACACUGAACACAGACAGGAAGCUGAUGUGGACGAAGGAAAUCGAACUGAAUGAUUUUCAGGAAGCUGAUGUGGACGAAGGAAAUCGACACGAGUUUUGUUGGGUUUACAAAGGAUGGUGCACAGUGGUUACUUGAUAACACUGAUAUCAAGCUAGUUGGACAUAAUAACAAUAGAAGGUCUGAAACUAGACCAUGUAAAGGCUGGAAUAUACACGUUGCACUGAUUACCUUUCAGACUGAUCAGAUGUGAUGGCUCACCAAUCAGGUGCAUCCUUAUUAAGUGAUUACUUGGUGCUACUGCUGAAGGUGACAUCGUAUCAUGCCAGAUGAUACUGCAUCCUGGUGUAAAUACCACCUCUGUGUGAAAGAAAAUAUUGCAUUCCAUGUUGAUAUGUUUAUGCACUCAACAAGGAAACAUCAAUAAUUUACUGCUGACAUGUCCAUGUUGUAUGAAAGACUUACAGUGGUUCACCCAGGAAGGAAUGGCUGUCUGCUUGUUUUGAACUGUUAUUGCAGUAUUAUAAUCCGUAUACCUGCAAUUCUCCGUUACUAGCAAUACCUAAAGUUUAGCACAGGCAUCUUGCAUACUGAAUUACCGAUGCAUAAUUGCAGAUGCAUAUGUUCUUUCCAUAAUGUGAUUGUGAUGAUCUGAUAGAGCUGCAAGAUGUUACAAGACAUUGGUCUUUGGAGUACAUGACCCUCGCAACAUUACAUGCAUAUCGUCUUGCAUAUAAGGUCCAAGAAAU